rnacentral:rRNA from 1 species
AGUGAACGCUGGCGGUAGGCCUAACACAUGCAAGUCGAACGGCAGCACAGUAAGAGCUUGCUCUUACGGUUGGCGAGUGGCGGACGGGUGAGGAAUACAUCGGAAUCUACUUUUUCGUGGGGGAUAACGUAGGGAAACUUACGCUAAUACCGCAUACGACCUACGGGUGAAAGCACGGGAUCUUCGGACCUUGCGCGAUUGAAUGAGCCGAUGUCGGAUUAGCUAGUUGGCGGGGUAAAGGCCCACCAAGGCGACGAUCCGUAGCUGGUCUGAGAGGAUGAUCAGCCACACUGGAACUGAGACACGGUCCAGACUCCUACGGGAGGCAGCAGUGGGGAAUAUUGGACAAUGGGCGCAAGCCUGAUCCAGCCAUACCGCGUGGGUGAAGAAGGCCUUCGGGUUGUAAAGCCCUUUUGUUGGGAAAGAAAAGCAGCAGGUUAAUACCCCGCUGUUCUGACGGUACCCAAAGAAUAAGCACCGGCUAACUUCGUG